CACGCCGUAAACGAUGAUAACUAGCUGCCAGGGCUCUUAGAGCUUUGGUGGCGCAGCUAACGCAUUAAGUUAUCCGCCUGGGGAGUACGGUCGCAAGAUUAAAACUCAAAGGAAUUGACGGGGGCCUGCACAAGCGGUGGAGCAUGUGGUUUAAUUCGAAGCAACGCGCAGAACCUUACCAGCGUUUGACAUCCUGAUCGCGGAUAGUGGAGACACUUUCCUUCAGUUCGGCUGGAUCAGUGACAGGUGC
rnacentral:rRNA from 1 species